rnacentral:rRNA from 1 species
CACGGAGGAUGCGAGCGUUAUCCGGAUUUAUUGGGUUUAAAGGGUGCGUAGGCGGUCUGUUAAGUCAGCGGUAAAAUUGCGGGGCUCAACCCCGUCGAGCCGUUGAAACUGGCAGACUUGAGUUGGCGAGAAGUACGCGGAAUGCGCGGUGUAGCGGUGAAAUGCAUAGAUAUCGCGCAGAACUCCGAUUGCGAAGGCAGCGUACCGGCGCCAGACUGACGCUGAGGCACGAAAGCGUGGGGAUCGAACAGG